rnacentral:rRNA from 1 species
AUGGGAGUAAAGGGGGCGAGCAGGAUGGGUGGCCAGCUGAUUUCUUCGAAGGAUCUGGAGCCCAGGGGCGACGCCGCGGAGGACCGGGAGUGGGGGCGAUGGCCAGGCCUGGUGGUGACGGGACGAUUUAGUGGUCGGAGGCGCUACAUCGGAUGCCAGUCAGUCUGCAACGACUCCAGCGCCAGUGUGCCCCUUGGCACCUCCCGCGCCAAGGUCUAUUUCCUUCCUUCCCCUUGCUCCCCUCGCUCCCACCCUCCCUCCCUCCAUUGUUCUGUGUUGGAUUCAUUCAUCAUGGUUGCUGCUCGCUCCUGUUCAUAUUGA